rnacentral:sRNA from 1 species
ACUCAACGUUAAUUCUUUAAAAAGGGUGAGUUUAAGUUGUAAAAGCAUGCUGCUACUAUUAUUAAUUUAAUAGUUCGAGCAGACCCUUGAUCAGCUUGUUAGCCCUAAACUUGUUUUUAAGGAGUUU